AGAGUUUGAUCCUGGCUCAGAGCGAACGCUGGCGGCGUGCUUAACACAUGCAAGUCGAAUGCGCAGUUUUCUGUAGCAAUACAGGGAGCGGGCGCAUGGCGAACGGGUGCGUAACACGUGGGCAACCUUCCCUUCGGUGGGGGAUACCCCCGCGAAAGCGGGACUAAUACCGCAUAACACUCCUUUGGUUAGCUCCGAGG
rnacentral:rRNA from 1 species